rnacentral:rRNA from 1 species
AACUCGCCUGCACGAAGUCGGAAUUGCUAGUAAUCGUAGGUCAGCAUACUACGGUGAAUACGUUCCCGGGCCUUGUACACACCGCCCGUCAAACCAUGAGAGUUGGCAACACCCGAAGUCGGUAGUCUAACCGCAAGGAGGACGCCGCCGAAGGUGGGGGUUGAUGAUUAGGGUUAAGUCGUAACAAGGUACC